rnacentral:rRNA from 1 species
GAUGAACGCUAGCGGCAGGCUUAAUACAUGCAAGUCGUGGGGCAGCAGGACGGUAGCAAUACCGUUGCUGGCGACCGGCAAACGGGUGCGGAACACGUACACAACCUUCCCUUAAGUGGGGAAUAGCCCGGGGAAACCCGGAUUAAUACCUCGUAACAUAAUGAAGUGGCAUCACUUUAUUAUUAUAGCAGCAAUGCGCUUGAUGAUGGGUGUGCGCCUGAUUAGGUAGUUGGCGGGGUAACGGCCCACCAAGCCUUCGAUCAGUAACUGGUGUGAGAGCACGACCAGUCACACGGGCACUGAGACACGGGCCCGACUCCUACGGGAGGCAGCAGUAAGGAAUAUUGGUCAAUGGACGCAAGUCUGAACCAGCCAUGCCGCGUGGAGGAUGAAGGUCCUCUGGAUUGUAAACUUCUUUUAUCUGGGAAGAAAUCCAUAUUUUCUAAUGUGGUUGACGGUACCAGACGAAUAAGCACCGGCUAACUCCGUGCCAGCAGCCG